GGGGCAGUAUUCCCUGCCCAAGGUCACGACCUUGUGUCCAGACGGUUCAUGUAUUCCUGCAAGGCCUUCAGGCGGGCGUCUAUUUCUGCCAUGUCCGCUGCCUGGUGGUCCGAGCUGUACUCUGUGAGCGCAGGGUCUGGGGAAAGACACUCACCGUAUUGGACCCACUCCAGGCUGUGGGGCUGGGAGGCUUCCCGCGGCGAACGCUGACAGGAGACGGUAAUCAAGGACCGACCCGAGAAGCCUCCGGCACCUCCCACCUCGCCCUCCCCACGUGGUUUCAAGGCUCCAGCCUCCAUCACCCAAUUUCCCUGCAAAAGCCUCUUUCCAGCCUCCCCAGACACCCGUUUGGAGGCGGUCUCUUCCCCCAGCCCAAGUUUUACCCUCUAGGGAGGGAUUCAGAGAAAUCCUCCAACUCGCUGCAGGAGCUGGCGGACGAGCAGCGGCUGCGGAGACUGUCCACUAGAGGGAGAAAGAGAGCGUAAGUCUCCGGCGCUCGCCCGGGGCGCCCAGCCCGCCUGCCGGCCCCGCGCUCUGCAGCCCAGUUACCCGAGGAGCUGCGGUGUCGCGAGCGGUUGGCCGCGUCCCCGCGGCCGGUCACGGCGGCGGGCGGCCGAGUCUGGCGCGACCAGGAGACGGACGGCCCGUCGCCGCUUCCUCCGCUGCCCCGUCGGUUCCGCUGCUGCUGCUGCCUGCGGAACCGCAAAGGAGACGCUCACCCGGCCGCCCAACUAGUGCCAGGAAAGGCGUCGCUGCGCCCCUACGGGUCGCAGCCGGAGCCAGUGACUCCGCUGAGGUCACGCGGCCUACGUAAGGAAGAGGCACGCGGACACGCAGACCAGGUGGUGGUGGGAGACAAGGAAGCAGGGCGGGUGGGGGGAAGGGUCAGGAGCGGAGGUGGAGUUCAGGUGCAAAGCAGGAGCAGGAAGGGGAGAGACGGAGCAGGUGACAGGUGAUGGGAGACCGCGAUGGAUGAGGGCACAGGUCAGCGGGCCAGUAAAGGGCCAGGGAUAUGGGCAGAUAAAGAGGAAAUGUGCGCUAACUUCAUCUUGAUCUCUCUCUGCUUCUUCUCCUUGGCUUUCACAAAGGCCGUGGGGUCAAAACGGGGCACGCGACCACCUAGGAUGGGGUGGGAGAGUGUGCAGAGAAGAGGCUGGGGUCACAGGAUCACGCCUCCACAGCUCUAGUCCAUUCCCCCUCCUCCCACAGGCAGGGCAGGGCAGGGCCUGGCCGGCACAGACCUGUGGGUGAAGGCGAGGGGCGGACGGGGCGGCCUCGACCCCGGCUCCCCCGACCGCUCUCCCGGGAAGAAGAGCGGGCGGCACCGCGACCACGAGAUGUGGAGCGCUCCCGCGACGACGAAGCCCGAUCCUCCCGCACCCGGGGCGGCACCACCGGCGGAGUCUGUCUCCUGGGAGCGCAGGACCCACUGUCAGUUUCCCGCCGGCCAGCUCCUAUCUCAACUCCUAUCUCAAGCCUCUUCUCGGAUCACACCAUCUCCGAACUUUCUGGUCCAUCCCACCAUCAACUCCCAGACAUUCACGCCCUUGCACACGACCCUCACAGACACCUUACCUUGUCCCACGCUCCCGCCCCUCUCGGAGCCCCAGAGAGCGCCCCAGAAGAACCCGUCUGUCACUUCCCUGCAUCCUAACAAACCCCCUUCACCGGGACCCUUCUUCCUGAGCUCUCCCACCGCUCCCUAGAAAUCCUUUCCAAAAUUCCGUCACCCACCGCAAUAAGUAACAGCCGACAUCAACCAGAUCCCCACCAGCGGGGCCACAACCUUUCACCGUGUGGCCGCGCCCUUUCGCUCUACGGGAUAGCCUCAGGGCCCACCCCUUCCGAAUCUCCAGGCCCAGCCUCCUGACACACGCUUCAAGCCCUGCCCAUCUCCCCACAGACUCCGCCCACCACGUCUAACUCAGCCCCACGCGGUCCAUUAGAUCCCUCCCACCGCUCCGUCCCCGCCCACUCUCAGCCUCCCCACUCAAGCCCCGCCCACACGCCCUGGGCCCCGCCCUCCACCCCUCGACUCCACACCUCCUCCCCAGGCUCCGCCCGUCCAGGCCUAAGCACCCCUGCAGCCGCGUCCCAGCUCCAGACCGCGCCCCUCACCCCCUCUUGUACACCGCCAGCUCGCUGUUCACCGUCCUCAGCCGGGCGCGCAGGCUACGCUCCGACGCCUUCACCUCCUCCAGCUGCCGGGGGAGAACAGGGGCGCAAGGGCCCAGACUGAGGCCGAGGUCCACGCCCCAGCGGCCACCCCCGGCCCGCCGGCCGCCCCGCCCCCUCACCUCCUUGGCCAGGCGCCGGCAAUCCUGGCUGCGGCGGCCGACCCCGCGGUGUCCGAGGCCCCGCUCUUGCCGAAGCUCCAGCUCCAGGCCGCGGACGAGCCCACGCAGCGCCUCAGCCUCCUGGCGCGCCGCCCUCCCGGCCAGAGCCUCCUCUCGAGAUCGGCCCAGCUGGGCCUCCAGCUCGCGCUUCUCCGAUGCCAGGCGUGAAACCCUGGGGGAAGGGGGAAGAGGGUAGAGGGAGGGCGUGCACGAUCCUAUCAUCUUCACUUCUCCAUGGGUGCGGGCACGAACCAUUUCACCUGCUCCAGGAACCGGGAGUGCAGCCCCAGCACUCCAGCCGCCCCCAUGGCCCCAUGGUCCCUCUUCCCACGGGAGGAGGAACAUGGCCAUCCAUCCCGCAGCGAGGACACAGCCCUGUGAGAUCUGAUUCCAAAAUAAGUCAUCAAUCUGCCCUUCUCUGUACCCUGGAAGCCUAGCCCUGAGUUCCUGGCCUUACAUGGUCUCCCACGCCCCCACCCCUGGCCUCCCAGCCAUCACGGCCUCCUAUUCACCAGAAGAUUCUUUGUAAAAUGCAAGUCCGAUCAGGUCACUACUCUGCCCAAAACCUUCCUUGAGAAAAAGAUGUACACACAAGGCUAUUCAUUGCAGCACUA